CUAUUUGCAGGUAGAUGGACAUGAAACCAUAAGCACAGAAAGGCAAACAUUUAGGUUUUAUUUUCAAAUCCUGGACAGAAAUAAAAUCUGUGUUUCUUCCAGCGUGCUUGUCCCGGACAGUGGUGCCCAGCUGGGGGCAGAAAGGCAGAGCUGCAUCCCCACCAGGUGGGCAUCAGGUAAUCAACGUCCUGGUGAUUAGAGUCACCUGUGCCCACUUAAAUAAAGCUGCAGCCCCCACAAGAGGAGCUUCUCACAUGCUAGCUGCAGGGUCUUCAGAAACACCUCUCUGCCUGCUCUUCUGUGUGGACACGAGAACAAAGAGAAAAAGCCACCACGGAACAGAGAGCCAUGACUGGAAGGAGGGAAGUCCAUAACGACUUAGACAUUUUGGGCUGAGCACUCAGCAGGUAAAUCUGCAUCUGGCCACAGGAACAGGAAAGAGUGUUUUGGCUGUAAAUGAGCAACUCAUUCAGACCAGCUAAGGAUCUGGUCUUUGGCUUGUGGGCAGGGGGCUCUAAGUUAUUACUUAUGUCUUUUAUGACAUAAACCAAGCUCAAACAGACAACAGUUUCAGGGGUGCUCUUGCUGGGUGCAUCCCACUCGCUGUUUUUCUCAACAACAUAAAGCAGCAUGCCAACUUCUAAAGGGCUGUUAUUUGUCUAAAGUGUUUGCACACAUUUCCAAAAUACUUAUGAAGCCAAGUUGCCAUUCAAGCCCAUCACUGUCUAAAAUAUAAGAACUGUAGCACCUGGUGAAAACUGAAGGCAAACUGUGCAGAAAUCCAGUGCAGCACUGGAUGUCUGUCCUCAUUCCCGUCCUCAGCCAUCAAAGCUCAGCCCGUCUACGUGGUGGGCUCAAAAUACUAGUUCCCUCUUUAUUUGCU
rnacentral:lncRNA from 1 species